UACGUAGGGUGCAAGCGUUGUCCGGAAUUAUUGGGGGUAAAGAGCUCGUAGGCGGUUCGUCGCGUCGGCUGUGAAAACCUGAGGCUCAACCUCAGGCCUGCAGUCGAUACGGGCGGACUUGAGUACUGCAGGGGAGACUGGAAUUCCUGGUGUAGCGGUGAAAUGCGCAGAUAUCAGGAGGAACACCGGUGGCGAAGGCGGGUCUCUGGGCAACAACUGACGCUGAGGAGCGAAAGCGUGGGGAGCGAACAGG
rnacentral:rRNA from 1 species